rnacentral:rRNA from 1 species
GAUGAACGCUGGCGGCGUGCCUAACACAUGCAAGUCGAGCGAUCUCUUCGGAGGGAGCGGCGGACGGGUGAGUAACGCGUGGGUAACCUGCCCUGUACACACGGAUAACAUACCGAAAGGUAUACUAAUACGGGAUAACAUACGAAAGUCGCAUGGCUUUUGUAUCAAAGCUCCGGCGGUACAGGAUGGACCCGCGUCUGAUUAGCUAGUUGGUAAGGUAAUAGCUUACCAAGGCAACGAUCAGUAGCCGACCUGAGAGGGUGAUCGGCCACACUGGAACUGAGACACGGUCCAGACUCCUACGGGAGGCAGCAGUGGGGAAUAUUGCACAAUGGGCGAAAGCCUGAUGCAGCAACGCCGCGUGAGCGAUGAAGGCCUUCGGGUCGUAAAGCUCUGUCCUCAAGGAAGAUAAUGACGGUACUUGAGGAGGAAGCCCCGGCUGACUACGUGCCAGCCGCCGCAGUAA